UGUAGUCAUAGUGCAGAGUGCCAGGAUCUGCCGAUGACCCACUCUCAGCCAGCAGAAUCCCAAUCCACCUGCCCAUAUCUUCUGAAGAUGAAGCCUACACAAACAGAAGAAAAAUCACAGGUACAGGAUCGGAAUAUGAGCAGAAAAAAACAUGAACCAGCAGCUCCCACAGAGCCUCCUCAUAGGGAUACAGGAAAACAGCCCCAAAAACUUCUAAGGUGUUUUGCAUAAAUACAGAAUCAGUGUAUCUAAUGACAGAGAAGUCAAGUAUUCAUGGUCCAGAAGUUGAAGAAACAGCUGCAGCUCAACUAUUAAUUCUUCCAUGGCUGAAAGAUAAAAAAUAAAGCAUCUAAAUUGAACCUAAAACAAACAAAAAAAAUAUAACCUAUGAGCUCUAUAAACAAAUAUUACUAUUGUAAUGUAUUAAAAUUAACAUUAACAGCUGCCUAAUCACGGACACACAAAUCCAUCAUAAUAUUGUUUUUUGAAGUACACAUUAUAUAAGGUGCCAAAAAAGAAUAAUCUUAGUAAGCAAAAGAAGCUAAACACUGGAGAAAUGUGUGCUGCUGAAUUUCAGAAGCAUUAUUUAUUUAUGCUUGGCAAUUAUAUAUGAGGAGCUGAAGAGAUACCUAUGUUCUACAGAUUAUUUACAUGUUGUAUUUUAUAAAUUGAAAUAAAAUGGUAAUUAUAUAUUCUUCAAUUAAAAAAUAUGAAUUCUGAUAACCCUCAGUCAGGCUCAGAUGCUUUUAACAAAAUUAAAAAUAUGAAUGGAAGAAAAACUUAUGGCUAUUUGCUUUAGCAAAAUGAAAUCUCUAUGUUCAAAAGACAAUAUGCUGGUAAGGAGAAUUUUCUCUAUGUCCUGCUGGCAAGUUUACAAAUGAUGAAGCAUUCGUUAAAAACUCAUGAGUUCCUGGGAGCAGCUUUUCAUAUUUCUGGCAUCUUACUUCUGAAUACAAAUUUCAUAUCCAGAUACAAAUUUGUCAUGAGGGCUCUAAUCUGCUGAACCUUUAGAUCAAGCAAUAAAAAUCAUUCAUUCACACAAGCUUCAUGAGCAAAAUUGAGAAUGCUUUACUUAUCUUGCUAAUAACAUUAAUAACUUGUAAAUUUAAAAAAAUCUUUCAGAAUUAAGUAGUUACUGCCACCAUCUGUUUAAGACAAGGUCAUGCAAAUUUAAUAAUCUCACAGCAUGCUGUACAUUGCCAACAUGGAAACUGUUUUAUCCCAACAGAAUGCUUCAUAAAUAAAGACUUCAACUAUCAUGUGUUUUCAAUUUGAAAUUUUUAGUACUAAUUUGUUGUAUUUUUAAUCUAUCGCAUAUUUAACUUCAUUAUUAAAUACUGUAUUUUAAGUGUUUUUACAUCUAGUGACAGAUAAAAUAUGUCAGAAUAUACAUAGCAAAAAGUUAUCCAUAGAAUUCUUCUAGCCCUAAAGAUAAGAAAAAGAAGUUUCCACAUUAUUAUCAAGAUUUGAUCAAGAUACACCUGGAAAUAGUCAAAGUAGAAUUUGUCACAUCGUAUCAUCUCAGUCCAAAACAUGUUGGCAAUAGCAUCAACUUAUCACAGGCCCAAGGAAUCUGUUUCACAUAAGAUUUUUUUUAAUAAAAAGUGCUUUUAUUGAGCUGCUCUUCAGUUAUACAUGGUUUUGAAUUGAAAAUGUUUAUUUACCAAAUUAUUCAACACGCUGUAAAAUAAAAAUGAUUCAGAACUCUGAAAAGUAUUUGAAACAUCAUAAAACUACAAGUACUCAAUGUUCCUUUUCUGCAUUCAUUUACAACAUAUAAAAGAAAUUAGAUGCUAAGAGGUUCUUUGGCACAGUACUUCAAAUAUGAAAGCCACACCUAACUGAAUCAAGUUGACCUACUGUUUGCAUGCCAAAUGCAAUCGGGUGUAGUUUAUAUAUGAACAACUUGAACAGAGCAUUACAUCAUCAACAUAAUCAAGACCAAAUAUCUCUUUCAUUUCCAUCACAAAAAUGUUUGCAUAAUUCCAUGUAUCACUAAAUGUCUACUUUUGUUACCAAGCUCCCUUCGUUCUUAUAAGGUAAAGAUUCCUCUGAGUCAAGGUUGAGUCCUGGUGAUACAUUCAUGAAGUUUUCUUAGCAAGAUUACAGAACUUGUUUGCUAAUAUCUGUUUAUGUUUUGUUUUGUUUUUACUUCCCAGGCUAACCUACAACCCUGGGUUUACCUAGUGGUCUCGGAUUCACAUUCUAACCAGAUGAGAUCCUAUUUAAUUUUUUUAAGAUCACUGUGGCCAUUACCCAGAGGAGCAGCUCACUGAGUUUGGAAAGAGUUUCACUUAGAGUCUAGUUAUAGCUUUCAAAGACCUUUUCAGCAGGUGAUAGCAUCUACCUGGCCACAUCAGGGUUCAGAUAUUAAGCAGAAUCAAGCCUGGCUAGUUCUUGAAAAAGAGAUUAUAAUUCAUUUAUGUGACUAGAUUUGGCCUAUCCAUGUAGUCUUCUUGGUCAAAAUUCAAGAGUGGUUUACCAUUGCCUUCUUCUAAUGCCUUUGCUGCAUCCACAUUUUCCUAUAUCACUGGGGCCCAAGAAUAGAUUUCUGCUUGCUUUAAAACUAGGCAGUGGGAUGAUCUUCACACUUUAUGUGAUCUUCCUGGGUAACUUAUUUUUGCACACACGCAGCUACCACAAUCUGUGUGGUUGUUAAAACCCAAAACAAUUUGAUGCCACAAAAUCAAUCAGAAUUGGUCAUCUAACUUAGUAAAUAAAACUUAUUAAUCAAAGAAUCAAAGAACAAAAAUGGGUGCUAAAGGUCAUCUAGUUUAAUUCCCUGCAGUUAUAAGAAAUCUACUAUAUAACAUUCUUGAUAAUUGGCCAUCCAGCCUCUUCUUACAAACUUCUGAGGGAGCAUCGGUACUCUGAACAACUCAUAUUAUCAAAAAGAGGGAAAAUGUCAUAAAAUAAACAUCUGAAAAAAAAGGUUUUGAAGUAGCCCAUCUACACAUGUAGAUAUGAUCAGAUCAACUCCCCAUGUACUGAACAUCAGCAUUUUAAAAAACUCACAAAGAGAUAGAUGAAUUAUGUUCUUUAUUAAGUUGAUUGGUCUUAACAUUAUAAAAAGUUAGAACACCCUACAAAAAUUCAGGGAAAAUGCAUACAAUUUUAAGUAUGUUAGUUUUCCUUUUUAAAAUAUUAUCUCUCUGUAUCUUAAUUUUUUUUCUCCUUAUAAUUUCAAUUUGGGAAAGACCUCCCUAACAGGGCUUACUCUGAUUAGAGUCAAGGUUCUUCAAGAACUGCAGAAAAGAAAUCAGUAUGGUAAUCUGUCAGGGCCACCCAACUAAAGCCCUAAAUAUUGGAAGUCCUUCCUUCCAAGAUAAUGUUAAAUAUAACAGCACAGACACCAAAUCAAAGUAAAAACUUGUUAAUGUCAUUCAAAUGUUAAGAAAUUGUUGUAUGUUUCGUUUAUUUAGUGUCAUUCAAGUGUGGUGACUAAAUCAUAAAUUAGAUACACAUACCGUACUCUUGAACAAUUUUAACCUAUCAAUCCCAGUGGAAACUGAUCUCAUCUGUCCACUCCAAAAACAGAUGUCAGCAAAUUUUAAUUUAUUUCCAUCCCCAAAGAGAAACAUAUCUAGCAAUACAGGUAGUCCUCGACUUACAACCACAAUCGAGCCCAGAAUUCACGUUGCUAAGUGAGAAAUUUGUUAAGUGAGUUUUGCCCCAUUUUGACUUUUCUUACCACGUUUGUUAAGUGAAGCAUUGCAGUUGUUAAAUGAAUAUGGCUUCUCCAUUGAUUUUGCUUGCCAGGUCAUAAAAGGUGAUCACAUGAUCCUGGGACCCCGCAACUAUCAUAAAUAUGAGUCAGUUGCCAAGCAUCUGAAUUUUGAUCAUGUGACCAUGGGGAUGCUGCAAGGGUCGUAAGUGUGAAAAACAGUCGUAAGUCACUUUUUUCAGUGCCUUUGUAACUUUGAAUGAUCACUAAAUGAAUUGCUGUAAGUCAAGGAUUACCUUUAGAAGAAUUCCCAGUAGAAAAUGAC